AGAGUUUGAUCAUGGCUCAGGACGAACGCUGGCGGCGUGGAUUAGGCAUGCAAGUCGAACGGUAUGGCACCUUCGGGUGUCAGAGAGUGGCGAACGGGUGAGUAACACGUAGGUUAUCUACCCUCAAGAUCGGGACAACCCAGGGAAACUUGGGCUAAUACCGGAUGUGAGCAUCCUUUUUGGAUGUUUGAAAGGUGGCUUUUAGCUGUCGCUUGAGGAUGAGCCUGCGUCCUAUUAGUUAGUUGGUGAGGUAAUGGCUCCCCAAGGCUAUGAUAGGUAGGCGGCCUUAACGGGUGGUCGCCCACACUGGGAUUGAGAUACGGCCCAGACUCCUACGGGAGGCAGCAGUCGAGAAUAGUCUACAAUGGCCGAAAGGCUGAUAGUGCGACGCCGCGUGAACGAGGAAGCCCUUCGGGGUGUAAAGUUCUUUUAUAUGUGAGCAGUGCCGGUCAUAUUAAUAGUAUGACUGGAGCGAUAUUAGCAUAUGAAUAAGCAACGGCUAACUCCGUGCCAGCAGCCGCGGUAACACGGGGGUUGCGAGCGUUGUCCGGAAUUACUAGGCGUAAAGGGCAGGCAGGCGGACCUGCAAGUUUUCUGUUAAAGACGUCAGCUCAACUGGCGCACGGCAGGAGAUACUGCAGAUCUUGAAUGCGGUUGGGGAAGACAGAAUUCCUGGUGUAGCGGUGGAAUGCGCAGAGAUCAGGAGGAAUACCAAAGGCGAAGGCAGUCUUCCAAGCCGUUAUUGACGCUCAACUGCGAAGUGUGGGUAUCAAACAGGAUUAGAUACCCUGAUAGUCCACACAGUAAACGAUGAUCACUAGGUGUCGGUUUCGUAAUAGGAUUCGGUGCCGUAGCUAACGCGUAAGUGAUUCGCCUGGGAGUACGAUCGCAAGGUUGAAACUCAAAGGAAUUGACGG
rnacentral:rRNA from 1 species